rnacentral:rRNA from 1 species
GAUGAACGCUGGCGGCGUGCCUAAUACAUGCAAGUCGAGCGAACAGACGAGGAGCUUGCUCCUCUGACGUUAGCGGCGGACGGGUGAGUAACACGUGGAUAACCUACCUAUAAGACUGGGAUAACUUCGGGAAACCGGAGCUAGUACCGGAUAAUAUAUUGAACUGCAUGGUUCAAUAGUGAAAGACGGUUUUGCUGUCACUUAUAGAUGGAUCCGCGCCGCAUUAGCUAGUUGGUAAGGUAACGGCUUACCAAGGCGACGAUGCGUAGCCGACCUGAGAGGGUGAUCGGCCACACUGGAACUGAGACACGGUCCAGACUCCUACGGGAGGCAGCAGUAGGGAAUCUUCCGCAAUGGGCGAAAGCCUGACGGAGCAACGCCGCGUGAGUGAUGAAGGUCUUCGGAUCGUAAAACUCUGUUAUUAGGGAAGAACAAAUGUGUAAGUAACUAUGCACGUCUUGACGGUACCUAAUCAGAAAGCCACGGCUAACUACGUG